UGGGGAAUUUUGGACAAUGGGCGAAAGCCUGAUCCAGCAAUGCCGCGUGUGUGAAGAAGGCCUUCGGGUUGUAAAGCACUUUUGUCCGGAAAGAAAUCCUUGGCUCUAAUACAGUCGGGGGAUGACGGUACCGGAAGAAUAAGCACCGGCUAACUACGUGCCAGCAGCCGCGGUAAUACGUAGGGUGCAAGCGUUAAUCGGAAUUACUGGCGUAAAGCGUGCGCAGGCGGUUUGCUAAGACCGAUGUGAAAUCCCCGGGCUCAACCUGGGAACUGCAUUGGUGACUGGCAGGCUAGAGUAUGGCAGAGGGGGGUAGAAUUCCACGUGUAGCAGUGAAAUGCGUAGAGAUGUGGAGGAAUACCGAUGGCGAAGGCAGCCCCCUGGGCCAAUACUGACGCUCAUGCACGAAAGCGUGGGGAGCAAACAGGAUUAGAUACCCUGGUAGUCCACGCCCUAAACGAUGUCAACUAGUUGUUGGGGAUUCAUUCCUUAGUAACGUAGCUAACGCGUGAAGUUGACCGCCUGGGGAGUACGGUCGCAAGAUUAAAACUUAAUGAAUUGAC
rnacentral:rRNA from 1 species